CACAGUUUGAAAAAAAGUCCGGGCUUUUAAUCAAAGAAACACGGUACUCACUUUCCUCGAAUUGGCGAGUGUCCGUGCUGAACUUCAUUUCAUACCUCUGUUGCUGGACACGUGCAGACUGCU